AAUGCAGAUCUAGGCAAGGGAAUGAGGAAAAACUUUCUGAUAAAGUUUUAAGUGGGCCAGACUCUCUAAGGGGCUCUCAACACUGUACCGGGUGACUUCUGCUUGAGCUACAACUCCGUAGUGUCCAGAAGCUCAAAUUUGGAAUUUGGAGAAUGAGAAGCACUUCCUUAGAGGACAUCAGUUGGAUAUGAGAGACUUGCUGCUCGACGUAAAUCCCUGAAAAACAAAAGAAUGGACUCUGGGUAUACAUAAGCAUUAGCCUCUUUCAACCACAGAAUGUCGCACUGCCAUUGAAGACCUAACAUGUUCAAGUCUCUAGUCCUCUGGGUUGGAGAGAGGUUGAGCCUAAAGAGAAGCUACCAUGUUUGCUGGAUAUGUUAAAAGAUUGGGAUUCGGAAAUGAGAGACUCUUUCCAGAGACCUGAAUCUUGAAAAAAUACUGCUUUCAAUGAACAUAUUCUUCAGUGUAGAACUUUACUUACCACAAUAAGAAAUUAUAAAAGAAAAAAUCUUUAUUAUGUGAGCUAGAGGGCUGCAUAUGGGAAGUCAAGAAUGGAAAUAAAAAAAAAAAAGAAAACAAAAAGACUUAUUUAUCUCUCUUUUAAACAGCAAAAUUUCCAGAUUUUAGCUACAAAGUUCAUAGUCUUCCAGCACAGCUGCUGAACUUUUCUAGGAAUAGAAAACACUAUAUAAAUAACUUUGUAUUAUAACUUAAUUUUUCUGUCAUUCAACUUCAGUUUCCACCUAAAACAGCUCCCAGUUCAGCAUUUCAUGUAAAAUCAAAUAAGUCAGAUUCUUCAGAAUUGCUGUGGCUGACCUGGAAGAAAUAUAUCAUGUUUUUCUCUACAGUGUAAUCAGUGAUGUCUCAGAAGCUCACAUCCUUUUACAUUUUU